rnacentral:rRNA from 1 species
GUCUACGGCCAUAUCACCCUGAACACGCCUGAUCUCGGAAGCUAAGCAGGAUCGGACCUGGCUGGUACUUGGAUGGGAGACCGCCUGCGAACCGGGUGCUUUAGGCU